rnacentral:rRNA from 1 species
UAAGGAAUAUUGGACAAUGGCCGCAAGGCUGAUCCAGCCAUCCAGCGUGCAGGAAGAAGGCCCUAUGGGUUGUAAACUGCUUUUAUCAGGGAAUAAACCUCUGGAUUCACUCCGGAGCUGAAGGUACCUGAAGAAUAAGCACCGGCUAACUCCGUGCCAGCAGCCGCGGUAAUACGGAGGGUGCGAGCGUUAUCCGGAAUUACUGGGUUUAAAGGGUGCGUAGGCGGCUUUGUAAGUCAGGAGUGAAAGUUUGCGGCUCAACCGUAAAAUUGCUUCUGAUACUGCAUGGCUAGAAUUAGGAUGAGGUCAGCGGAAUGUGGCAUGUAGCGGUGAAAUGCAUAGAUAUGCCAUAGAACACCAAAUUGCGAAGGCAGCUGGCUAGACCUGGAUUGACGCUGAGGCACGAAAGCGUGGGGAGCGAACAGGAUUAGAUACCCUGGUAGUCCACGCCCUAACGAUGCUUACUCGACGUA